AAAGGUUUCAAACUUCUUCGUUCUUCGACAGUACCGACGUACUGGACAACUUUGCACUGCAUUUCAAAGAAAAAUCAUCAUCUACUUCUGCUGCAAAAGAACCGGUUGAUCCAAUGGUUAAGAAAGUGCAGGAGCUCUUCAACAGGAAAUACAAUGAAGCGGGAGGCAGAGGAAGGCUCCUGUACAUCUCCAUUCAAAAUGAAAGCAUAAUUAUCAACGCUUUUGGUCUACCUGAUGGCAUCACUCUCAAAAAGCCAUGCCACUAUGGACGUAAACAGUUAGAAGUCAUUUUAAAUAAUGCGGCGAACAUUUCCUUUAAAAUUAGUAAGUGUUUGAGCAUAAAUGUUGAUAGAUUAUAUUUAGUCAUCCGGUAAAAACAUACUUUGUAAUCAUUCAAUGGGGUGGUCUGUUGUUGAGAGGUCAUUUUCAUAAUUUUAUGUUCUUAUAUUUAGUCAUUCCUUUUGCACUGCUAGACUUUAAUUUGAAGUAUUUAAAGAGCAGAAUCCAAAAGUAGCAUAUGUUUUGGGAAAAGUGUAACACUCACUAUGUGUUUACAGUUAAUGAACUCGUAAUAAAACCAGAGCUAGACUCGGCUGCUGGAGUAGUGAGAAGUGUAUUUUGAAUUAAUGACCACAGACCC